rnacentral:lncRNA from 1 species
CCUCGGGACUAUGAUGGAAGAUCUAAUCAUCAGACACCUUUGGCUGCGUCAAUAGAACACAUCUUUAAAGCCAAUCGCAACAAAGGACUCUUCCGAAGACCAGCGCCAUUGUUUUCUUGGUAGAUGAGGGAAGUUCAUAUGUGACAAUCACUCGGGGGUAGUUCACUUGCUCUAAAGAUCCUGAGGAAAUGGUUCUAGUCGAGGUUGAAGCAAGUUCUUUAAGGAGAGACAACUUCGAGCAGGAGGCAAAUGAAGUUAAUCAGAAGCUUCACCCCGAUAUGGUGGAAGAAGUCAGAAGAGAGUCACAAAUCAGGAAGGCGGCAUAUCAACAGAGAACAUCUCGUUCUACAAUAGCAAGGUGAAUGUCAAGUAUUUGAAGACGAGGG